AUCACUAAUAAAAAAUUAAUAAUUUAAAAUAUUUAUUCAAUAUGAAAUAGUUUAAAUAACGUAGAAUGUAUGUACUUAUUGGUUAAUGGAAGUUCUAUUUUUAUACCAGUAAUCAGACCAUCAAAUAUUUUUUUAAGUAAACAAUGGAAGUUACUUCUUGUUAUUGAAGCGGUAAUGGCUCAUUAUCAAUCCAAUUAUUUAACAAUUCAAUUACUGCUGUUUUAUACUGAGGGCUAGAAUACUUCUCCUCUGGCCAUUCAAGAGAUAAGAAUCCAAAUGCUAUUUUUGCUAAAGAUAUUUUAGAAAUACAUAAUCAUGAUUUGUUCAAAAUCCAUGUUGAUGUAUAAAUUAUAAAUAAUGUAUAAUGUUACUUACCAUAUUUUUCCUUACUUUGUUUAGUAUAAGAUUCAGAAUGUUUCAUUAAAGAUUUGGACACAUUAAUUAAUGCAGUAGCUAAUGAUAUUUGUGUAACAAUAUCAAAUAAAGAUUCGAAAUAUUUGCAGCCUUCUGCAACAAGUUCUUUGCAGGAUCUUAACAUAGCAUUACUUUCAUUCACUUGACUUGCUAAAAUUCGUAAGCCCUCUAAA